rnacentral:rRNA from 1 species
GACGAACGCUGGCGGCGUGCCUAACACAUGCAAGUCGAGCGAUGAAGCCCUUCGGGGUGGAUUAGCGGCGGACGGGUGAGUAACACGUGGGUAACCUGCCUCAAAGUGGGGGAUAGCCUUCCGAAAGGGAGAUUAAUACCGCAUAAAAUGCUUUAAUCGCAUGAUUGAAGCAUCAAACGAGCAAUCGGCUUUGAGAUGGACCCGCGGCGCAUUAGCUAGUUGGUGAGGUAACGGCUCACCAAGGCGACGAUGCGUAGCCGACCUGAGAGGGUGAUCGGCCACAUUGGAACUGAGACACGGUCCAGACUCCUACGGGAGCUG